AGUGAUUUACGGAGAAGGAACUCGGCAAAAUGACCCCGUAACUUCGGGAUAAGGGGUGCCAGUGUUAGGUGAGGCCGUACAGGCUGAGCCGAAGCUGGCCGCAGUGAAUCGUCCCAAGCGACUGUUUAGCAAAAACACAGGUGUCUGCAAAGGCGUUUUCCAAGCCGACGUAUAGACACUGACGCCUGCCCGGUGCCGGAAGGUUAAGGUAAGUGGUCAGCCGCAAGGCGAAGCUACGAACCGAAGCCCCGGUAAACGGCGGCCGUAACAAUAACGGUCCUAAGGUAGCGAAAUUCCUUGUCGGGUAAGUUCCGACCUGCAUGAAUGGCGUAACGACUUGGGAGCUGUCUCCUCCGUAAGCUCGGCGAAAUAGCAGCAUCGGUGAGGAUUCCGAUUACCCGCGACAGGACAAAAAGACCCCAUGCACCUUUACUACAACCUGUCAUUGAUCGUCGAUAUACACUGCGUAGCAUAGGUGGGAGCCGUUGAGACCCGGUUUUCGGAUCGGGUGGAGGCAACAGUGAAAUACCACCCUUUGUUUAUUAACGAUCUCACUCGGCCGGCAACACCGGCGAGGACCGUGGCUGGUGGGUAGUUUGACUGGGGCGGUCGCCUCCCAAAAAGUACCGGAGGCGCGCGAUGGUGGGCUCAGUGCGGUCGGUAAUCGCACGUUGAGUGUAUACGCAAAAGCCCGCCUAACUGCGAGCGCGACGGCGCGAGCAGGGACGAAAGUCGGCGUAAGUGAUCCGGUGAUCCCGUAUGGAUGGGUCAUCGCUCAUCGGAUAAAAGGUACGCUGGGGAUAACAGGCUUAUCGCGCCCGAGAGUUCACAUCGACGGCGCGGUUUGGCACCUCGAUGUCGGCUUGUCACAUCCUGGGGCUGGAGAAGGUCCCAAGGGUCCGGCUGUUCGCCGGUUAAAGUGGCACAUGAGCUGGGUUCAGAACGUCGUGAGACAGUUCGGUCUGUAUCCGUCGUGGGCGUGGGAACGUUGAGGGAUCAGGACUCUAGUACGAGAGGACCGAGUCGUAGUGACCUCCCGUGUACGGGCUGUUCCGCCAGGGGCAGCGCCCGGUAGCGAUGUCACGCAGGGAUAACCGCUGAAAGCAUCUAAGUGGGAAACCCGUCCCAAGAUGAACGUUCCUGGAGCUUAAGCUCCCUUAAGGGCCCUGGGAGACCACCAGGUUGAUAGGCCGCAGGUGCACGGCGCGCGAGCGCUUCAGCCGAGCGGUACUAAUCGCCCGUGAAGUUUGAUCUC
rnacentral:rRNA from 1 species